AUGAAUGAGGGAAAAGAUAAGAUUACCUGGACCCUCACUGCUGAUAAUAAAUUUUUGGUAAGAUCUUUAUACAAGAAAUUGAUUACACUAGGGCUGAAAUUUCCACAAAAAUACCUAUGUAAAAUCAAAGUUCCUCCGAAAAUAAAAGUCUUUCUGUGGUUAGUAAACAAGAAUAGUAUUUUGACUAGGGAUGUCCUACUCAAAAAAGGGUGGAAGGGGGGGAAAGGGUGUGUGUUUUGUGGACAAGAUGAAUCAAUUGAUCAUCUAUUGUUCACCUGCUCUGCGGCUUCCUUGCUUUGGAGCUUGGUCAGAUGUGUGUGUGGUUUGAAGACCAUUCCUUUAAAUGUUAAAGAUUGUUUUAGGGGGUGGAUAAGCAAAUUUAAUAAAGAAGACAAGAAAAUGGUGAUGGUUGGAGUUUCUGCCUUAUUCUGA
rnacentral:rRNA from 1 species